UACGUAGGGUGCGAGCGUUGUCCGGAUUUAUUGGGCGUAAAGAGCUCGUAGGCGGUUUGGUAAGUCGGAUGUGAAACCCCCAGGCUCAACCUGGGGCCGCCAUUCGAUACUGCCAUGACUAGAGUCCGGUAGGGGGCCAUGGAAUUCCUGGUGUAGCGGUGAAAUGCGCAGAUAUCAGGAGGAACACCAGCGGCGAAGGCGGUGGCCUGGGCCGGAACUGACGCUGAGGAGCGAAAGCGUGGGGA
rnacentral:rRNA from 1 species